rnacentral:rRNA from 1 species
UUCGUAGGAGUUUAUUUUAAAUUUAGGUAAUGUAUUGUGAUGAAGUUUUGGAUGAUUAGAUAUUAAGGAUAAUUUGAUUUAGUGAUAGAUGAUUAGUACCGUUAGGGAAAAUAAUUAAAUUAUUGUUGAUUUUUAUAGAAUAGCUUUAGGUUAGUACCUUUUGUAUCAGGGGUGAAAGAUUAGAAUUAUAAAUUUAUAAUUUCCGAAUGCAAAAGGGUUACAUUUAUGAAGAAGUUAUGUGGCAUAAUAGUUUUAUAUAUGAAUGUGGAGGAGAAAUUUCAUUCGGGUUUGCGGAUAUCUGAUUUCUUGAGAUUGGAUUUAAUCUUAGCUGUUAAAUUGAUGAUGAUAGGUUUGUUUUAUCGUUUAGUUAACGGUUUAUCAGAUUGGGGAUAAGCUUGAUUUGGUAUACAUAUUUGAUGGAGUUUAUUAGGAUUUGGGCUUGAAAGUUGCUUUUAUGUGUUAUAACUAACUAUAAAUUGCACGGGUUGAUUGUAUUGUUAUUGAGAUUUUUCCUUUAAUUAUUAAAUGGAUUGAAUUUAUGUUUAUAUGAGUAGAUGUAUUGUUAUUUAAAUUGGAGUUUGAUCAGAAAUGUGGUUUGAUAUUUACUAUAGAGGAAUUCGGCAAAUUAGAUUUGUCCACCUGUUUAUCAAAAACAUGGCUUUUAGGUUUUAUUAAGGGUCUUUUCUGCUCAAUGAUUGAUUAAAUAGCCGCGGUAUUUUGACUGUGCAAAGGUAGCAUAAUAAAUUGUCUUUUAAUUGGAGACUGGAAUGAAUGAUGGGAUGUGAUGAAUGCUGUCUUUAUAGUAAUUGAUUGAAAUUUACUUUUUUAUGAAAAGGUUAAGAUUUGAUUGGUAGACGAGAAGACCCUAUCAAGCUUGAUUUUGAGAAUAGUUUUAUUUUAUUUUAUUAGUAGGUGGAUUGUAAUUUAAAUUUUGUUGGGGCAAUGUUUGAAUAUAUUGUAAUUUUUUAUUGUUUGUUAGAUUUUGAUCCAUUAUUAAUGAUUAAAGGAGUAAGUUACUGUAGGGAUAACAGCGUUAUUAGUCUGGAGAGUUCAUAUUGGUAGACUAGAUUGCGACCUCGAUGUUGGUUUAAUGAAUCUUUAUGGUGUAGCAGCUUUAUAAGAGGGUCUGUUCGACCUUUGAAUCAUUACAUGAUCUGAGUUCAGAUCGGCGUGAGCCAGAUCGGUUUCUAUCUGCAAUUGAUGUUGGGUAUUAUAGUACGAAAGGACCUAAUAGCUGCAAAUUUUGUU